rnacentral:rRNA from 1 species
ACGGGAGGCAGCAGUGGGGAGUAUUGGGCAAUGGGCGAAAGCCUGACCCAGCAACGCCGCGUGAGGGAAGAAGGCUUUCGGGUUGUAAACCUCUGUCCUUGGUGACGAACACAAUGACGGUAGCCAAGGAGGAAGCCCCGGCUAACUACGUGCCAGCAGCCGCGGUAAUACGUAGGGGGCAAGCGUUAUCCGGAUUUACUGGGUGUAAAGGGAGCGUAGACGGCAAGGUAAGUCUGAAGUGAAAUGCCGGGGCUCAACCCCGGAACUGCUUUGGAAACUAUCUCGCUCGAGUACCGGAGGGGUAAGCGGAAUUCCUAGUGUAGCGGUGAAAUGCGUAGAUAUUAGGAGGAACACCAGUGGCGAAGGCGGCUUACUGGACGGUAACUGACGUUGAGGCUCGAAAGCGUGGGGAGCAAACAGGAUUAGAUACCCUGGCA